rnacentral:rRNA from 1 species
UACGUAGGGUGCAGGCGUUAAUCGGAAUUACUGGGCGUAAAGCGUGCGCAGGCGGUUUCUUAAGUCAGAUGUGAAAGCCCCGGGCUCAACCUGGGAAUGGCAGUGGAAACUGGCGAGCUGGAGUGUGGCAGAGGGGGGUGGAAUUCCGCGUGUAGCAGUGAAAUGCGUAGAGAUGCGGAGGAACACCGAUGGCGAAGGCAGCCCCCUGGGCUGACACUGACGCUCAGGCACGAAAGCGUGGGGAGCAAACAGG